GCCUUCGUGGCCUAAUGGAUAAGGCGUCGGCCUCCUAAGCCAAGGAUUGCGGGUUCGAGUCCCGUCGGAGGUA
rnacentral:tRNA from 1 species